rnacentral:rRNA from 1 species
GUGCCUAAACAUGCAAGUCGAACGGAACCUUCGGGUUUAGUGGCGAACGGCGGAGUAAUAUACAAGUAACCUGCCUUGAAGAUCGGGAUAGCCGUGGGAAACUGCGAGUAGUACCGGAUGUGGUGUGCGAGAGACAUCUCUUGCACAUUAAAUGGUUUUUCGCUUCAAGAGGGGCUUAUAACACAUCAGCUAGUUGGUGGGGUAAUGGCCUACCAAGGCGACGACGUGUAGGGGGUCUGAGAGGAUGAUCCCCCCGAGUGGGACUGAGACACGGCCCACACACCUACGGGUGGCAGCAGUUGGGAAUCUUGCACAAUGGGGGAAACCCUGAUGCAGCGACGUCGCGUGGAGGAUGAAGGGUUUAGGCUCGUAAACUCCUUUUUCAGGGAAAGACUUAGGACGGUACCCUGAGAAUAAGCACCGGCUAACUACGUGCCAGCAGCCGCGGUAAGACGUAGGGUGCAAGCGUUGUCCGGAUUUACUGGGCGUAAAGAGCUCGUAGGCGGUCUGUUAAGUGAGAAGUGAAAUCCCCCAGCGCUCAACGCGGGAACUGCUUUUCAUACUGGCAGACUUGAGGAAUGCAGAGGUUAGUA